ACGCUAGCGGCAGGCCUAACACAUGCAAGUCGAACGGUAACAGGAAUUAGCUUGCUAAUUUGCUGACGAGUGGCGCACGGGUGCGUAACGCGUAUACAAUCUACCUUUUGCUGAGGGAUAGCCCAGAGAAAUUUGGAUUAAUACCUCAUGGUAUUAUUGAUAGGCAUCUAUUAAUAAUUAAAGGUUACGGCAAAAGAUGAGUAUGCGUCCCAUUAGCUAGUUGGCGAGGUAACGGCUCACCAAGGCAACGAUGGGUAGGGGUCCUGAGAGGGAGAUCCCCCACACUGGUACUGAGACACGGACCAGACUCCUACGGGAGGCAGCAGUGAGGAAUAUUGGACAAUGGGCGAGAGCCUGAUCCAGCCAUGCCGCGUGCAGGAAGACUGCCCUAUGGGUUGUAAACUGCUUUUAUACAGGAAGAAUAAGCCUUACGUGUAAGGUGAUGACGGUACUGUAAGAAUAAGGACCGGCUAACUCCGUGCCAGCAGCCGCGGUAAUACGGAGGGUCCGAGCGUUAUCCGGAAUUAUUGGGUUUAAAGGGUCCGUAGGCGGAUGAUUAAGUCAGGGGUGAAAGUUUGCAGCUCAACUGUAAAAUUGCCUUUGAUACUGGUCAUCUUGAGUUGUAUUGAAGUAGGCGGAAUAUGUAGUGUAGCGGUGAAAUGCAUAGAUAUUACAUAGAACACCAAUUGCGAAGGCAGCUUACUAAGUACUAACUGACGCUGAUGGACGAAAGCGUGGGUAGCGAACAGGAUUAGAUACCCUGGUAGUCCACGCCGUAAACGAUGGAUACUAGCUGUUCGGG
rnacentral:rRNA from 1 species